UCAAAUCCAAACAAGAGGGGACAGUGGGGUAACCUAGGGCUUAAAGCGUUCGCUCCUCACGACGAAGACCCGGGUUCGAUUCCCACAUGGGUACAAUGUGUGAAGCCCAUUUCUGGUGUCCCCCGCCAUGAUAUUGCUGGAAUAUUGCUAAAAGCGGCGUAAAACAUACUCACUCUGCUCACAUAAUAAUAAGUAGCA